rnacentral:snRNA from 1 species
AGCUUUGCGCAGUGGCAGUAUCGUAGCCAAUGGGGUUUAUCCGAGGUGCGAUUAUUGCUAAUUAAAAAAAAAAUUAUUCAGACAUAGGGUUUCUCCUAGUGGUAGUCUAUGACAGAUGUCAAUUACUGUGAUAAGAUGCUUGUAAACAAG